rnacentral:rRNA from 1 species
CAAGCAGCGGAGCGUGUGGUUUAAUUCGAUGCUACACGAAGUAACCUUACCGGGGUUUGACAUGCAAGUGGUAGGAAACCGAAAGGCCGACCGACCCUUCGGGGAGCUUGCACAGGUGCUGCAUGGCUGUCGUCAGCUCGUGUCGUGAGAUGUUCGGUUAAGUCCGCUUAACGAGCGCAACCCUCGCUGUGUGUUACAAGUGUCACACGGUACUGCCGGUCUUAAGCCGGAGGAAGGUGGGAUGACGUCAAGUCAGCAUGGCCUUUAUGUCCUGGGCUACACACACGCUACAAUGGCCAACACAAUAGGUUGCUAAGCCGCGAGGUGGAGCCAAUCCUCAAAGUUGGUCUCAGUUCAGAUUGCAGGCUGCAACCCGCCUGCAUGAAGAUGGAGUUGCUAGUAGCCGCAGGUCAGCUAUACUGCGGUGAAUACGUUCCCGGGCUU